rnacentral:rRNA from 1 species
GACGAACCGUGCGAACGUUGUUCGGAAUCACUGGGCUUAAAGGGCGCGUAGGCGGGCCUUCAAGUCCGGGGUGAAAGCCUCCAGCCUAACUGGAGAAGAGCCUCGGAGACUGAGGGCCUCGAGGAGGGUAGGGGCAAGCGGAACUAUGGGUGGAGCGGUGAAAUGCAUUGAUAUCCAUAGGAACUCCGGUGGCGAAGGCGGCUUGCUGGACCCUUUCUGACGCUGAGGCGCGAAAGCCAGGGGAGCAAACGGGG